GGGGGUAGAGCUCAGUGGUAGAGCAUGUGCUUAGCAUGCACGAGGUCCUGGGUUCAAUCCCCGGUACCUCCA
rnacentral:tRNA from 1 species